AGGGGCUCAGCCGGAAAGUCCACACCUGUCUUCAGUGAGGCAGUUGAAGAUUCUGUGGGAUGUGUUGCUGACAGAGAGUAGGUACCAAAUGCACCAUGGCCAGGAGGGAGGCCUAGUCCUAGGCCAGUGACAUAGUAUUUCUUAAUGCAUGAACAGAGAAGGAAGCUAUGAGAAACAAGCACUAAAUGGAUCCACAGUGGAUCAUUGCUGAUACCUUUGGACCUGGAAUUAUAGCCAUCUCAAAGAAAAUAGAAUCCUCGGCAGGCAGAGCUGCAGGAGCAAAUUCUCAACCACAAGCAUCAAGCACAGGACGCACUAGAAGUGGUGUGCGUUCUUUAAAGCCUCAAAGCCCACCUCAGUAAGAUCGCUCCUCCUACAAGUCCACACCACAAGUCUAACCCUCUCCCAAACAAUGCCACCUGCUGCUAUGCCCUGAAACUUGCUGCCGCAUUUCUCUGUUGUGACGGACUCUCAUCCCACUGUAA